rnacentral:lncRNA from 1 species
UCUUUCACAGGAAAAUUAAACUACAUGAAUUUAAUAUAGAAAAGUAUUUUGAAUUAUUAGUACUAUGUGAGAGAGAGAGCACUAGUUUUCCUCGUAUACAAUAAUUAGUGCUUUGAAAUCCUGCCUCAUGGUGCAAGCUAAAACGACCCUCUCCUGUGGGAUAGCUCAAAGAGGAAAGGCCGGUCUUUUCCCCUGCAUCCAGGAACCAGAAGCCUUGUGUAGAGCAGCAAUUUCCCAUCUAAUACUGCAUCAUAUGAAGAGGCUCAAUAAUCUGGUAGCAGCCCAGCUCCCCCAUCGCAUUUCUGCUUUUUUAACCAUAAUUUAAAAUUCAAGUUUACAAUCUUAUAAAUAAUUAAUUAUUAGAAAAUAAUCAAAUUUAUUAUUUAUAUUCUAAUAGAAGCCACUGAAGGAUGACAAAUGCAUCUCAGAAACCAACCACUCUCAUUUUCUGUACUUGCAAGCUGAUGGAACACUUGGACCAGAAUGUUGUAACAAUUUAAUAGAAAUCCUUGGAAGAACAUCCAUGGCUGGCAUUAAAAUAUGUUUUGUGGAGUAAUUUUGAUGUUUUAGCAAGCUCCUGCUCUUCAAUUCCUUCCCCCCAAAAAUCCAUUUGCACCAAAAAAGCAGAGUGGCCCAAAGAGUCACUAGAUGCACACCUGAAAUGCAAGUGAAAAGAAACCCAUUCCUCACAUAAUUUGGUAGUGAAAGACGUAACUAGCUAUUUGUAUAUUAUGUUCCUUAGA